rnacentral:tRNA from 1 species
AGCCAAUUAGUUGCAUGGGCAACUUAUGUUUUGAAAGCAUCCUCCAGAGGUUCGAUUCCUCUAUUGGCUU